UACGUAGGGUGCAAGCGUUGUCCGGAAUUAUUGGGCGUAAAGAGCUCGUAGGCGGUUUGUCGCGUCUGCUGUGAAAUCCCGAGGCUCAACCUCGGGUCUGCAGUGGGUACGGGCAGACUAGAGUGCGGUAGGGGAGAUUGGAACUCCUGGUGUAGCGGUGGAAUGCGCAGAUAUCAGGAAGAACACCCGUGGCGAAGGCGGCUCUCUGGGACGGUACUGACGCUGAGACGCGAAAGCGUGGGGAGCGAACAGG
rnacentral:rRNA from 1 species